AUGAUGAUGGAAACAACAAUGGGUAGUGCUGACAGUGGGGGAUCAUGGUUAUGGGGUGCUGACAGUGGGAGGUCAUGGUUAUGGGGUGGUAGUGGGAGGUCAUGGUUAUGGGGUGCUGACAGUGGGAGGUCAUGGUUAUGGGGUGGUAGUGGGAGGUCAUGGUUAUGGGGUGGUAGUGGGAGGUCAUGGUUAUGGGGUGCUGACAGUGGGAGGUCAUGGUUAUGGGGUGCUGACAGUGGGAGGUCAUGGUUAUGGGGUGCUGACAGUGGGAGGUCAUGGUUAUGGGGUGCUGACAGUGGGAGGUCAUGGUUAUGGGGUGGCAGUGGGGGAUCAUGGUUAUGGGGUGCUGACAGUGGGAGGUCAUGGCUAUGGGGUGGUAGUGGGAGGUCAUGGUUAUGGGGUGGUAGUUGUGGGUCACGGUUAUGGGGUGGUAGUGGGAGGUCAUGGUUAUGGGGUUGUAGUGGGGGGUCAUGGUUAUUGGUGGUAGUGGGGGGUCAUGGUUAUGGGGUUGUAGUUGGGGGGUCAUGGUUAUGGGGUGCUGACAGUGGGAGAUCAUGGUUAUGGGGUGCUUACAGUGGGAGAUCAUGGUUAUGGGGUGGUAGUGGGGGGUCAUGGUUAUGGGGUGCUGACAGUGGGAGGUCAUGGUUAUGGGGUGCUGACAGUGGGAGGUCAUGGUUAUGGGGUGCUGACAGUGGGAGGUCAUGGUUAUGGGGUGGUAGUGGGAGGUCAUGGUUAUGGGGUGCUGACAGUGGGAGGUCAUGGUUAUGGGGUGGUAGUGGGGGGUCAUGGUUAUGGGGUGGUAGUGGGGGGUCAUGGUUAUGGGGUGCUGACAGUGGGAGGUCAUGGUUAUGGGGUGCUGACAGUGGGAGCUCAUGGUUAUGGGGUGCUGACAGUGGGAGGUCAUGGUUAUGGGGUGCUGACAGUGGGAGGUCAUGGUUAUGGGGUGCUGACAGUGGGGGAUCAUGGUUAUGGGGUGCUGAGAGUGGGAGGUCAUGGUUAUGGGGUGGUAGUGGGGGUCAUGGUUAUGGGCUGCUGACAGUGGGAGGUCAUGGUUAUGGGGUGGCAGUGGGGGAUCAUGGUUAUGGGGUGCUGACAGUGGGAGGUCAUGGUUAUGGGGUGGUAAUGGGAGGUCAUGGUUAUGGGGUUGUAGUGGGGGGUCAUGGUUAUGGGGUGGUAGUUGGGGGU
rnacentral:lncRNA from 1 species